CCCUACGGGGGGCAGCAGUGGGGAAUAUUGCACAAUGGGGGAAACCCUGAUGCAGCAACGCCGCGUGAGUGAAGAAGUCAUUCGUGAUGUAAAGCUCUAUCAGCAGGGAAGAAAAUGACGGUACCUGAGUAAGAAGCCCCGGCUAACUACGUGCCAGCAGCCGCGGUAAUACGUAGGGGGCAAGCGUUAUCCGGAUUUACUGGGUGUAAAGGGAGCGCAGGCGGCGCGGUAAGUCUGAUGUGAAAGCCCGGGGCUCAACCCCGGGACUGCAUUGGAAACUGUCGUGCUGGAGUGUCGGAGGGGCA
rnacentral:rRNA from 1 species